rnacentral:rRNA from 1 species
GAUGAACGCUGGCGGCGUGCUUAACACAUGCAAGUCGAACGAAGCAUUUAGGACAGAUUACUUCGGUUUGAAGUUCUUUAUGACUGAGUGGCGGACGGGUGAGUAACGCGUGGGUAACCUGCCUUGUACUGGGGGAUAGCAGCUGGAAACGGCUGGUAAUACCGCAUAAGCGCACAAUGUUGCAUGACAUGGUGUGAAAAACUCCGGUGGUAUAAGAUGGACCCGCGUCUGAUUAGCUAGUUGGUGAGAUAACAGCCCACCAAGGCGACGAUCAGUAGCCGACCUGAGAGGGGGACCGGCCACAGUGGGACUGAGACACGGCCCAGACUCCUACGGGAGGAAGCAGUGGGGAAUAUUGCACAAUGGAGGAAACUCUGAUGCAGCGACGCCGCGUGAGUGAAGAAGUAAUUCGUUAUGUAAAGCUCUAUCAGCAGGGAAGAUAGUGACGGUACCUGACUAAGAAGCUCCGGCUAAAUACGUG